rnacentral:rRNA from 1 species
GUCUUUUUGAGUUAUUUUUAAAGUUUGACCUGCCCACUGAAUAUUUUUAAAUGGCCGCAGUAUUUUAACUGUGCAAAGGUAGCAUAAUCAUUAGUCUUUUAAUUGAAGGCUGGUAUGAACGGUUGGACGAAGUAUAAGCUGUUUCAUAUAAAAUUAUAUUAGAAUUUUAUAUUUUAGUUAAAAAGCUAAAAUGUCAUUAAAAGACGAGAAGACCCUAUAAAUCUUUAUAUUUAAUAUUAUUUAAAUUUUUUUGAUUUAUUUUAUUUUUAUAAUAUUAAAUAUUUUGUUGGGGUGAUAUUAAAAUUUAACAAACUUUUAAUUUUGAAUUAAAACAUUAAUUUAUGAAUAAUUGAUCCAUUAUUAGUGAUUAUAAGAUUAAGUUACUUUAGGGAUAACAGCGUAAUUUUUUUUGAGAGUUCAUAUCGACAAAAAAGUUUGCGACCUCGAUGUUGGAUUAAGAUAUAUAUUUAGGUGUAGCUGUUUAAAUAUUAAGUCUGUUCGACUUUUAAAUUCUUACAU